rnacentral:rRNA from 1 species
AUAUCAAUAAGCGGAGGAAAAGAAACCAACAGGGAUUGCCUCAGUAACGGCGAGUGAAGCGGCAACAGCUCAAAUUUGAAAUCUGGCCUCUGGCCCGAGUUGUAAUUUGCAGAGGAUGUUUCUGGCGAGGUGCCUUCCGAGUUCCCUGGAACGGGACGCCAUAGAGGGUGAGAGCCCCGUACGGUUGGUCGCUAAGCCUCUGUGAAACUCCUUCGACGAGUCGAGUAGUUUGGGAAUGCUGCUCUAAAUGGGAGGUGUACGCCUUCUUAAGCUAAAUACCGGCUAGAGACCGAUAGCGCACAAGUAGAGUGAUCGAAAGAUGAAAAGCACUUUGAAAAGAGAGUUAAAAAGCACGUGAAAUUGUUGAAAGGGAAGCGCUCUUGACCAGACUUGCGCCGGUUGAUCAUCCACCGUUCUCGGUGGUGCACUCUGCCGGCUCAGGCCAGCAUCAGUUCGGCCCGGGGGAUAAAGGCUUCGGGAAUGUGGCUCUCUCCGGGGAGUGUUAUAGCCCGUUGCGUAAUACCCUGGGCUGGACUGAGGUUCGCGCAUCUGCAUGGAUGCUGGCGUAAUGGUCAUCAGUGACCCGUCUUGAAACACGGACCAAGGAGUCGUCUUCGUAUGCGAGUGUUCGGGUGUCAAACCCCUACGCGUAAUGAAAGUGAACGUAGGAGAGAGCUUCGGCGCAUCUCCGACCGAUCCUGAUGUUCUCGGAUGGAUUUGAGUAAGAGCAUACGGGGCCGGACCCGAAAGAAGGUGAACUAUGCCUGUAUAGGGUGAAGCCAGAGGAAACUCUGGUGGAGGCUCGCAGCGGUUCUACUG